AUGGAAAAAACAAAUAGCAUUGAACCGGCCCAACAAUUGGCUCAGGACGCAGCGCCUAUGUCCUCCAAAAUCCUGUCGUCUUGGCUGGAGCGCGACCGCCGCCGCCAAUCAGUCCUCCUGCUCCGCCGCCGACCGCCGCCGACCGCCGCCGCCAAUUACCGUCCUCCUGCAUCGGCGCCGACCGCCGCUGACGCCAUGCCGUCUUCCUGCGUCGACCGCCGCCGACGCCAUACCGUCUUCCCGCGUCGACCGCCGCCGCCGCCAUCGACACCCCGUCCUCCUGCAUCGAGGGCGGCCGCCACCUCCACCAUCUCGUAUUGAUGCGUCGAGCGCAAACGCCGCCGCGACACCCCUUCCUCCGCAAGCCACGUAGACGGAAUCGCCGCCGCCACAUCAAGCGACACCAGCAUCGCGUGCGAGUGCCUCCGCCACCAGAUCAGCCUGGUCCUGCAUCGCGGGCGAGCGCCGCCGCCACCAGGUCGGCCCCGUCGUGCGUCGCCGGCGAGAGACGCCGCCACCAAUCUCGCCGCCAGGUGCUGGCAAGGAGGAGGGUGAAGAGUAUCACCUCGUGGUUAGCAAGACCUUCAGAAGUGAGGACGAAGGAUAUGAGCUCUACAAUGAAUAUGCAAAGGUCAAAGGGUUCAGUAUUAGGAAUGAGGAGGUGAAAUAUUUGCCAGGCACACGGGCUCGAUUCAGGCGGUUUUACACAUGCUUUAAACAAAGGAUACUACUCAUUUUGCUUAAUUUAAUUGGUACUCAUUCUGCUGUCAAAUAAUUUGAAAUGUAAUAUUUCAGUCCGUUUGUAAACUGCGUUUAGCCAAUUUUACUCCUAUGCAUUGGUUUACUCA